UACGUAGGGUGCGAGCGUUAAUCGGAAUUACUGGGCGUAAAGGGUGCGCAGGCGGCCUCGCAAGUCGAGUGUGAAAGCCCCGGGCUUAACUUGGGAAUUGCGCUCGAAACUACGUGGCUGGAGUGUGGCAGAGGAAGGUGGAAUUCCACGUGUAGCGGUGAAAUGCGUAGAUAUCUGGAGGAAUACCGGUGGCGAAGGCGGCAUCCUGGACCGAGAUUGACACUGAGGAGCGAAAGCCAGGGGAGCAAACGGG
rnacentral:rRNA from 1 species